rnacentral:misc_RNA from 1 species
GCAGGUCUCUCCAAUAUCCUCAACCCACCCAAUCCUUUUAUCAAGUCCCCUGAUCCAACACACUCAGCAUUAACCAAUUUCUCAUUAUCCACAAUAUCAUCACUCAAACUCUCAUUCCUAUCACCAUGUAAACCUUCUAUCAAAAGCUCAUCGCUUUUAGAUGCCUUGUUGUCACUACUACCGCAAUACUCCAAUAACUCAUCAACAACUACAAGUUCCUGUGCCUCAUCACCAAUUUCAUCAUCUUUCAGAGCUGAAACGACCUGAGUCGUAGCUGUAACCGGUGUCUCCUGCCGAGCAGCCGAAGAGGACCCCGCUCGACUCUGGUUUGAAGAAGAAGAACCGCUGCC